rnacentral:rRNA from 1 species
UGGGGAAUUUUGGACAAUGGGCGAAAGCCUGAUCCAGCAAUGCCGCGUGUGUGAAGAAGGCCUUCGGGUUGUAAAGCACUUUUGUCCGGAAAGAAAUCCUUGGCUCUAAUACAGUCGGGGGAUGACGGUACCGGAAGAAUAAGCACCGGCUAACUACGUGCCAGCAGCCGCGGUAAUACGUAGGGUGCAAGCGUUAAUCGGAAUUACUGGGCGUAAAGCGUGCGCAGGCGGUUUGCUAAGACCGAUGUGAAAUCCCCGGGCUCAACCUGGGAACUGCAUUGGUGACUGGCAGGCUAGAGUAUGGCAGAGGGGGGUAGAAUUUCACGUGUAGCAGUGAAAUGCGUAGAGAUGUGGAGGAAUACCGAUGGCGAAGGCAGCCCCCUGGGCCAAUACUGACGCUCAUGCACGAAAGCGUGGGGAGCAAACAGGAUUAGAUACCCUGGUAGUCCACGCCCUAAACGAUGUCAACUAGUUGUUGGGGAUUCAUUUCCUUAGUAACGUAGCUAACGCGUGAAGUUGACCGCCUGGGGAGUACGGUCGCAAGAUUAAAACUCAAAGGAAUUGACGGGGUCAUAGCUG